CAACCCUUUUCCCUUAUUAGCAUUUGGAACCGUAAAGGGAAUUUUUCGGUAGCUAAGCAGGGUGUUAACAGCUGUUGCUGGAAGGCACCUAAACAACUUUAUGUGUUUGUGCCGUGUCUCCGUUUAGCUGGUGCUUGAGCGCCAGUGAAGCCUUUCAUAUCCCUGUGCCUUUUGGGCCCAGCCUGGUAGUUUCUAUCGUUGUGGGGCCCAAGAACCCGUCUCUGGUGACAGGAUUCCACCAUCAGUUUUUCCUGGACUUCCGGUUUGCAGAUGGUUGGACUUUUCAGCUUCCAUCAUCAAAUGAGGACAUUUGGAGGCACAUGAAGGUUAAGAAAUUGCCCACGGUCACACAGCUGGCUUGCCAGCCCUGUGAGUGAGUCACCUUGGAAGAAGAUCCUCCAGCUCCCAGUCAAGCCUUUAGAUAACUGCUUCGCUGGCUGACUUCUUUAUUGCAACUUUAUGUGACUCCCUGAACCAGAACCAAAUUCCUGCUACAGAGACUGCAAAGUAAUAGAUUUCAUUGUUGUUUUAAGUCACUACAUUUUAGAGUAAUUUAUUACAAAGCAAUGGAUAACCAAGACAAGAGGCCUCAAAAAACCUAUCUUUAUACACCUUUUCCUAAGAAGCUAUUCUACCCAACUAAAAAUGAGAACAAAAUCUGGCAAGAAAGACAUAAAAGGAACUUCUAGGGUGACGGUGAAAAGACACCCCAUGAAGACAGAGAUGCAGCUGGCCUAGAAAGCAUCUGAAGGAGGGCACAGGGUGGAGCAGGACAGGGGAUCCUAGGGGUAUGGGGGAUGCUCCUUGGGGACUAGCUGAUGCAUUUGAUCACAUGGAAAACAGCAUGAGGGGGCUUUCAUAAAUCUGCUAGAGUCUCUGAAAAGAAAUGACAAAACUAAAAAUAAAUGAAGCAAUUAUUAAUUCUAAAGCUACAAAUAGAGUUGUACAAAGAAAGGAAGUUUCAGCCUUGUUUAACUCCUGGCUCAGUAAAUAAUAUUUGUAACUACAACAAAAACAAAAAUUGAGUCAUUACAGUAUUAGAAAAAUGGGAUGAGGGAAACUAUUAUGGAGUCUUCAGCUUUCAUAAUAGAAAACCAAUAGAUAAUAUCUAAAACUGAUAUUAUUGGGGCACCUGGGGGCUCAGUGGGUUAAGCCUCUGCCUUCAGCUCAAGUC